UGCUGUCUAUCUUGACGAAUACCUUUGAUGUUAAUUAUAUAAUUUUUGCACGAUAGGUUACAUAUUACAAGAUAACAUGUACCAUCAAUAUAUACAUCAUAAUUCUUUUAGUAAGUUAAUUAUGCCGCUGCAAAAGGACUAAUUAUGUUAUUUGAUGAAAAUAAUUAUAUGUGUAAAUUUAAUAUCUAUAACCUAAUUAUUUUACAUUAAAGAAUAUAGUUAUAAGGAUCAACUAGACACGUUUUUUUCUUUUCCUUUUUUUUUUCCAGUUAGACACACUUAAAUCAUUAAAAG
rnacentral:lncRNA from 1 species